UGGGGAAUAUUGGACAAUGGGCGCAAGCCUGAUCCAGCCAUGCCGCGUGAGUGAUGAAGGCCCUAGGGUUGUAAAGCUCUUUCACCGGUGAAGAUAAUGACGGUAACCGGAGAAGAAGCCCCGGCUAACUUCGUGCCAGCAGCCGCGGUAAUACGAAGGGGGCUAGCGUUGUUCGGAUUUACUGGGCGUAAAGCGCACGUAGGCGGACUUUUAAGUCAGGGGUGAAAUCCCGGGGCUCAACCCCGGAACUGCCUUUGAUACUGGAAGUCUUGAGUAUGGUAGAGGUGAGUGGAAUUCCGAGUGUAGAGGUGAAACUCGUAGAUAUUCGGAGGAACACCAGUGGCGAAGGCGGCUCACUGGACCAUUACUGACGCUGAGGUGCGAAAGCGUGGGGAGCAAACAGG
rnacentral:rRNA from 2 species